rnacentral:snRNA from 1 species
GGACAUGAGGGCCACCUGGCGUGCCGUCUGCCACCCCACAGAUCUCCAGGGUUGCCGCAGCUGCUCUGGCUGGUGGGUGGGCAUCCCCUCCUCCCUCACCACCCGACGCGUGUCCCUCCCGGAGCUGCGUGCUUGGGUGAAGAGGACGAAGGUGAGCGAGCACGCGCUCCCCUGCUCGGGGCUCCAGGCAAGCUCCCCAGGCCCAGAGCUCCUUGCUGAGGGCUAGACCCCGACUGGGCGGCUCAGAGGUGGCUCAGAAGGGCACCGUGAACCCCUUCUGGCAUCUGUUACAGCCACAGUAACGAACGUGU